AUUCAUCUUCGGGGCAGGGUGCAAUUCCCUACCGGCGGUAAUUGGACAUCAUGGUCCAUCAGCCCGCGAGCCGUAAAAAGCAGGAUUUGGUGAGAUUCCAAAGCCGACAGUAUAGUCUGGAUGGGAGAAGGUGAAG
rnacentral:ncRNA from 1 species